CCUACGGGAGGCAGCAGUGAGGAAUAUUGGUCAAUGGACGCAAGUCUGAACCAGCCAUGCCGCGUGCAGGAAGACGGCUCUAUGAGUUGUAAACUUCUUUUGUACGAGGGUAAACUCAGAUACGCGUAUCUGUCUGAAAGUAUCGUACGAAUAAGGAUCGGCUAACUCCGUGCCAGCAGCCGCGGUAAUACGGAGGAUUCAAGCGUUAUCCGGAUUUAUUGGGUUUAAAGGGUGCGUAGGCGGUCGGUUACGUUAGAGGUGAAAUUCCGAGGCUCAACGUCGGAAUUGCCGUUGAUACUGGGCGGCUAGAGAGUAGUUGCGGCAGGCGGAAUGUAUGGUGUAGCGGUGAAAUGCUUAGAGAUCAUACAGAACCCCGAUUGCGAAGGCAGCUUACCAAGCCACUUCUGACGUUGAGGCACGAAAGCGUGGGGAGCGAACAGGAUUAGAUACCCCAGUAGUC
rnacentral:rRNA from 1 species